GCCGAGCCGGGAGCCCGCGUAGGGGCCGCGGCACCGAGGCUCGGGGGGCGGCCGGGCGGCCGGCGGCGGUCGUGGCUCGGCGGGGCCCGCGCGGCCGGGGGGCUGCUGGGGGUGUGCGCCCCCAGCCGGCUGCCCUCGUGGAUGCCUCCCGGCGGCGGCGGGCCCAUGAAAGACUGCGAGUACAGUCAGAUCAGCACCCACAGCUCCUCCCCCAUGGAGUCGCCCCACAAGAAGAAGAAAAUCGCGGCCCGGAGGAAAUGGGAGGUUUUCCCGGGAAGAAACAAGUUCUUCUGCAACGGGAGGAUCAUGAUGGCCCGGCAGACGGGCGUCUUCUACCUGACCCUCGUCCUCAUCCUGGUCACUAGCGGACUCUUCUUCGCCUUCGACUGCCCGUACCUAGCAGUGAAAAUCACUCCCGCCAUCCCGGUGGUCGGUGGCAUCUUGUUCUUCUUUGUGAUGGGGACCCUGCUGCGCACCAGCUUCAGUGACCCCGGCGUCCUUCCGCGAGCCACGCCUGAUGAAGCCGCCGACCUGGAAAGGCAAAUAGGUAACCCUGAAGAUAUCGCAAAUGGCACCAGUUCAGGGGGGUACCGCCCACCUCCCAGAACCAAAGAAGUCAUCAUCAAUGGCCAGACUGUGAAACUUAAAUAUUGUUUCACCUGCAAGAUUUUCCGGCCCCCUCGUGCCUCUCACUGUAGCCUUUGCGAUAACUGCGUAGAACGAUUUGAUCACCACUGUCCCUGGGUAGGCAACUGUGUGGGGAAACGAAACUACAGAUUUUUUUAUAUGUUUAUUUUAUCUCUGUCUUUUCUGACAGUCUUUAUAUUUGCAUUCGUUAUCACCCACGUCAUCCUUCGUUCACAGCAGGCGGGAUUCCUCAACGCUCUUAAGGACAGUCCUGCAAGCGUGCUGGAGGCCGUGGUCUGCUUCUUCUCCGUCUGGUCCAUCGUGGGGCUCUCGGGUUUCCACACGUACCUGAUAAGCUCCAACCAGACCACGAAUGAAGACAUUAAAGGAUCUUGGUCAAAUAAGAGAGGUAAAGAAAAUUACAACCCCUACAGCUACGGAAACAUCUUUACAAACUGCUGCGUCGCACUGUGUGGGCCAAUCUCUCCAAGCCUCAUCGACCGAAGAGGGUACAUUCAGCCCGACACCCCGCAGCCAGCCGCGCCCUCCAAUGGGAUGGCCACAUACGGGGCCACACAGUCCCAGAGUGACAUGUGCGACCAAGACCAGUGCAUUCAGAGCACCAAAUUCGUUUUGCAGGCCGCGGCCACGCCCCUGCUGCAGAGCGAGCCCAGCCUCACCAGCGACGAGCUGCACCUGCCCGGGAAGCCGGGCCUGGGCACGCCCUGCGCCAGCCUGACGCUCGGGCCUCCCACGCCGCCCUCCUCCAUGCCCAACCUCGCCGCCGAGGCCGCGCUCACGGACAUCCUGCCCCUGAAAGACGAGCACGUGGGCCACCAGUUCCUGACCCCGGACGAGGCUCCCUCGCCGCCCACGAUGCUGGCGGGCAGCCCGCUGGCUCACAGCCGCACCAUGCACGUGCUGGGCCUCGCCAGCCAGGACUCCCUGCACGAGGACUCGGUGCGCGGCCUGGUGAAGCUCAGCUCCGUGUGAUCGCGUGGCCCCGGCCCGCCCAGGGGAUGCUGCCCACCGUGGGAGCGGCAGGCGCGGUGCCCUCACCGCGAUCCCCCACCGUGUGACCCAGUGCACAGGUGGCCAGCACAGCUCUAAGCCCUGGGGUAAGAAGACCCCUUCUUGGGAGAGAAAUCGGAGGGCCCAGCCGGGCAGGACCUCAAAGGCUGACAGCUUGGUUUCAUUUGAAUUUUCUGCCCCACCCUGACCUGCUUCGCUAACAAUGAAAAUAGAGACCUGACUAUUUUCAGGUGUUUGGAAUAUGAAGGGUGGGCCUUGGGGGAGGGAGACAGCCGCGGGAGGCACCCCCCAGCAGAGUCUGGGAGGACAGGGGGCCACCUGGGGGGCUCCUCUUGCUGCUCUGGACCAGGUAACAGAAGGUUUAGGACCCUUGUGGCCGGACUGAGGUUGCACUUAAGUGUUAUGCUACUAAUAUUUGAAAUAGACAUGCCAUUCCAUUUGUUAAUUUAAAAAAGGGAAAAAAAAACCCGACCAGAUGUGGACUGCAUGCCACGCUCCAGUCUGUGCACGGUGGUGACGGUAUUUGGAAAGGAACUGCUGCUGCUUUUCUUUCUUUUUUUUUUUUUUUAAUUUCGUGAAUUCUCAAGUGCUGUUUUAUGGGAAGACGGUGCAACAGACCAAGGCUAAUGGACCUUGCCAUCCUCGCCAGCUUCUUCAGCUUAAUUCUACACAAACGAUAAACCCAGCAAGCAAACCCACUCAAGUUCAAAGUUGGGCGCUUGCUCCUCACAGCCACAUGAAAGCAAAGGUGCACUGAUCGGUGACAGCAGAAGCCCUGGAUGAUUUGCACUGAUGGAAAAGGGCUGUUUCUCCUGAGGAAGAGUUCCCCUCUUAUAGAAGAAAAGCAGAAAAGAGGAAAGAAAUAGAGAAGCACAAGUUCAAGUCUUCUUUGGAAUAAGGUCAUUUGUUCAUAGAGACCCGGGAGAGAGUUGGACCUGGUGAGAAGAGAAAGGUGGCUCAGUUCUCACUGCUCCCUGUGUGGACGAGUCCAUUCCCGGCUUCUUCACCUGGAGGAAAAGACAACAGCCUCUCCAUCUCUAACAUCCUCUGAUUCAGUGAUUGCAAUUUCCCAUGACCAGUCCUCUUCCCACCUCAAUGGGAAAAAGUCCACGGAGCAAGGAUCCUUACUCACUUUUCUCUACAUAAGGCAUGUUUGCUUAAUAUUUAAUGUCAAUCCUCCAUCCCACCUUCAAGUCCAUCCCCUGUACCCACUUGAUACCGCUUAUCAAAGAGGGGAUUGGGGGUAUUGGUGACACCCAGCUAGGAUCUGAGGGUCCAAGAGGAAGAUGAACUUGAGUGGGCUGAUUUGCUAAGACAAUUAACCUCUUAAAACCCCCAAACCAGAGGGAUCCCCGUAGUCCUUCGCUCUGUGGCUUGAAAAAGAAUGCAGUGUCUGCAGGUUGAACAGUUGCGCUCCCAGGAGCUGUCUUCUUCCCUGUGGGUGAAGGGUUGAUCUUUAGCAGACUGAUUUCCCUGGUUAUGGGUCUGCAUUUCCCAUCACCUGAUUGCAUAUAAAUCUAUUUAAAAUUGAGUAGUUCCAUCUAGUUGUGGCUGAAUAGACCUUGAUCUUUCUACAUUCUGUCAGUGGGUUAUGGAUUGAUUGCAUACUAUCUAUAAAAUAUAGGAUAAAUAUUUUACCAUGCUAUUAAAGCUUGGACCGUUCUCAAACACACUCACGUACACACUCAUUUUGUUGUUUAAAAAUUCAUCUGCCUCCAUCCUUCCAGGAGGGCUCGGGUGCUUCAGGCUUCUCAGGCACGUGAAGGCUGGAUUUAGCCUGAACGCCCAGGUUCCCAGGAAGACCGUGGAUGGAAUACCAGAGCAGCUGACAGCCUGCAACUGAAAGGGCAUGGUGACAUGUCGCUCUGCGCCUGGGGAGAGUCAGCCCAGCGCUUGUGCUGCGCUUGCUCAAAAAUGCUCAUUCCAGCUUUCAGAUGUAAUCAUUUCAGCCUGUGAGAAGGACAGCACCUUCUCACCCUGAGCCAGCAAAAAAGCCAGAUACCUGUUCUGGUCCGGAAUAGCACCAAGGAAGGAUGUUCUCGGAGCUCUUCCCCGCUCCUCCGAGUGCACUGCCAUCUUCCCCUGCUGCGUUUAGGAUGCUGACUGGGGUUCAAAACGAGAAGCAAACCCCACGUCAGGAGGCCUGAGUGGGUCAAGCGCUUUCUGUGGCUUUGAAAGCCCCUUGACUCUUCAUGCCCUGAUUCAACCCCAAGAAAGAUGGGAUUGCCAACACCGGCAGUGGUGCCCUUGAUGCCGAGGCGUGUGACGGCAUCUCCAGGGAAGUACUGGAACUCAAGCUACUUGGGGUCCCUGGCGCAGCCUUUUGGGGGUACAGAGCCAGUGACCAGCCCCUCUGUGGGUCUCAGAGCCUCCCAGCCCCACACCCCACAAAUGAUUCUCUGUAACAUCACUGCCCCGUUCCAGAGCUCAGCCCACAAACCACCCUCUUCACCUGGAACCCUGUGUUUCUCUGCCUUGGCUUACAGUUUUUUAAGUUAGCUGAAAGGCAUCAGGGGUUUCAGCUAAUAGUAUACAGAAUAUUUCCAAAGUUAGUUGCCUUUCAUUUAUCCACACUGGUUAACCCACUUAGUUCUUGACAGGUAAGAGAUAGAGGAUAAAGGGAAUAAAUGUUAAAAAUACUUUUCUGAUUAAUGCCUUACCACUGUUUUGAAGCUGAGCCUAAAUCAAAUCAAUGUUUACAUUUUUUAUUAAGUACCUGUGUGUCUUGCAUGUGUCAAAUGAGAGAGCCUUUCAAAUGAAUUCUUAAUCCUUCUGGUCCCUGCACCUGCCCUGGAGACGUGCAUGUGUCACUGAAUGUUGUUUUCCAUGUUACCUCGUUAAAAAAAAAAAAAAACUGCCUCUCAUUUGUUCUCUUGAAAUGUGUCUUGCUCUGUCUUACAAGAUUAAGUUAUCAUUGAAAUAUUAAAUAAGCUGAAGCGCCGUUUUCUUGCAAAUAAAUGUCAAAGAUGCUAACAGUUUCAUAAAUCAGUAAAUCCUGUCUACUUGCCCUUUGUAUGUGGUCUUGAUAAUAGAGCCAAGAUGGAUUUUCAAAUACAAGUAGUUAGUACGUUAAUCCAGCCAUUCAAAAUAAGAGGGAGGUCAGAAAUUGGAUUGUUUCUGGAGCAACCAGAUUUGCAGCUGCCACAAAACUAGAUAAACAGCCUCCACUGAAAUUAUUUUUUCAAUCUCAUAAACCCCAGGAAUUACAUACAGAAUGGAUUGGAAAUGAGCAUCUUGUGCUAAUGUAAAGACUUUUCCUCCAUCAAUUGCUGAUUUUUUAAAAAGAUAACUUGGUAUUGCUUCUGAAGAUGUAAAUGAAAACUCUAAUUGCCCUUGGUCUUUUAAGGUGGAUUGUUGAACCAAGAGGCUGUAUGGCAUAUCCAGAGACCUAUUUUCUAGGUUUACAUGAAUGGAGAUAGUUUUUGCCUGCAGCUAAAAAAAAAAGAGAAAAAUGUUGAAGCCUUGCUGACUGUUUGUCCAGGGCAUCCUGGGUUAGUAUUUCACAAUAGUCAAACAUUUUGGCAUAGAAGGGAAAAAAAGCAUUUUAAACUUAAGCGGAUUCAAAGCCCUAAAUCUGAACCAUGGUGAUCAAAGAACACAUAACAUGGCAUGUUUUCAGAGAAAUUAUGCUUAUUUAUAUGCCUUUCAUGUUUUAAUCAAUGUUUGCAGAAUUGAUCUUAAAUCUGAAAUGAAUUAAGAAAGUAUUUUUUCCUUCUUUAAUAAAAAAUGCUAAUGGUAUCAAAUAUAAA